CCUACGGGUGGCAGCAGUGGGGAAUUUUCCGCAAUGGGCGAAAGCCUGACGGAGCAAUACCGCGUGAGGGAGGAAGGCUUUUGGGUCGUAAACCUCUUUUAUUGGGGAAGAACACAAUGACGGUACCUGACGAAUCAGCAUCGGCUAACUCCGUGCCAGCAGCCGCGGUAAUACGGAGGAUGCAAGCGUUAUCCGGAAUUAUUGGGCGUAAAGCGUCCGCAGGUGGUUAAUCAAGUCUGCUGUUAAAGCGUCCAGCUUAACUGGAUAUAGGCAGUGGAAACUGGUUGACUAGAGUUUGGUGGGGUCACGGGAAUUCCCAGUGUAGCGGUGAAAUGCGUAGAUAUUGGGAAGAACACCAGCGGCGAAAGCGCGUGACUGGGCCUGAACUGACACUCAUGGACGAAAGCUAGGGGAGCGAAAGGGAUUAGAUACCCGUGUAGUC
rnacentral:rRNA from 1 species